UCCCCGGUAGCUCAACAGGCAGAGCACCUGGCUGUUAACCAGGGGGUUGGGGGUUCGAAACCCUCCCGGGGAG
rnacentral:tRNA from 1 species